GUACGAUUCUGAAAAUUGACAUUUUUGGUGGUUGUGGGUGUUCUUGAUUUCCCGGCGGUGGUUGACGGCGGUGGAUGGGGUUCUUGGUUUCCCGGAUUUAAUCAAAGCAUAAAGAAACAGGGUAAACGGUGGAGUGCAAGAUUAAUAUGGUGUUUUUGUAAAUGUCAUCUGCAAAAAUGUAGCCUCCAGAAUUUGAGAGGAGAUCAUGAGUUUAAUCUUUAGAUACCAACUCGCCGAUCAAAAAAAUCCAUUACUUUUUGUACAAAUUCUUCUUUGGAAAUAUUGCAGUCUUUCAAGCUGUGGCGGAGUUAAAGUUAAAAUAAAGGGGUAACACAAACUUGUCGGCCGAAGAUGGUCGCCGACGACAAGCGACAAUAGUGAAUGACGGAGGUUAAAGCACCAACGAAUCAGUGGAGCAACAACUUGAGAAGUCGGUGAUCGAUCACCAUUUUGUUUCUAUUCCACGUUCAUUUUUUUUAAAUAUCAAAUGGUAUAAGAUUUGGACAGUGGGAUAUUUCUUAUUUCAUAAAAAGAUUGAGCUUAAACAUUUUGGACCGUUUUAAAAGAA